UACGUAGGGCGCAAGCGUUAUCCGGAAUUAUUGGGCGUAAAGAGCUCGUAGGCGGUUUGUCGCGUCUGCCGUGAAAGUCCGGGGCUCAACUCCGGAUCUGCGGUGGGUACGGGCAGACUAGAGUGAUGUAGGGGGAGACUGGAAUUCCUGGUGUAGCGGUGAAAUGCGCAGAUACCAGGAGGAACACCGAUGGCGAAGGCAGGUCUCUGGGCAUUAACUGACGCUGAGGAGCGAAAGCAUGGGGAGCGAACAGG
rnacentral:rRNA from 1 species